rnacentral:rRNA from 1 species
CGCCCUGAAACUGCGAAUGGCUCAUUAAAUCAGUUAUAAUUUAUUUGAUAGUCGAAAGUUACAUGGAUAACCGUGACAAAUUACAGCUAAUACAUGCAGUCAGACCUCGUCCAAGGGUCGUAAUUAUUAGUACCAAACCAUUUCCGAAAGGAGUGUGAUGAUUCAUAGUAAUCGAACGAAUCGCAGGUAUAUGCGAUAAGUCAUUCAAGUUUCUGCCCUAUCAGCUUUGGAUGGUAGUGUAUUGGACUACCAUGGCAGUCACGGGUAACGGAGAAUUAGGGUUCGAUUCCGGAGAGGGAGCCUGAGAAACGGCUACCACAUCUACGGAAGGCAGCAGGCGCGCAAAUUGCCCAAUCCCGACACGGGGAGGCAGUGACAAGAAAUAACAACUCUAGGAUUUCUUAGAAGUGUAAUGAGGAUAAUUUACAAACCUUACCGAAUGCAAUUGGAGGGCAAGUCUGGUGCCAGCAGCCGCGGUAAUUCCGGCUCCAAUAGCGUAUAUUAAAGUUGUUGCAGUUAAAAAGCUCGUAGUUGAAGUUCUGAUCGCUCAGGUCUCCAGCCUUAGGCGGAGAUACUGACGGUCAUCCGCUUGCAAACAUAGGUUCGAUCUUCACCGGUCGACUAUGUGAGUAAGCAUUUUACCUUGAGAAAAACAGAGUGUUCCAGGCAGGUUUGUCCGGAAUGCAUUAGCAUGGAAUAAUAGAACAUGACUGAAGUCUAUUUAUUGGUUUAAGGCUUUAGUAAUGAUUAAUAGGAACAGUCGGGGGCAUUCGUACUCAGCAGUCAGAGGUGAAAUUCUAAGAUUUGCUGAAGACGAACUAAUGCGAAAGCAUUUGCCAAGGAUGUUUUCAUUAAUCAAGAACGAAAGUUAGGGGAUCAAAGACGAUCAGAUACCGUCCUAGUCUUAACUAUAAACGAUGCCGACUCGGAUUCAGAUGAAUCAAAAAGUUCAUUUGGGACCGUAGGAGAAAUCAAAGUCUUUGGGUUCUGGGGGGAGUAUGGUCGCAAGGCUGAAACUUAAA